rnacentral:rRNA from 1 species
CAUAAAGUAAGACUAACACAGAGGGCAGAGAGUUGGGAGUGAAGAAAAUAACUUAGUGGCGAACGGGUGAGUAACGCGUGAGUAACCUGCCCUGGAUGGGGGACAACAGUUGGAAACGACUGCUAAUACCGCAUAAGCCCACGGCCCGGCAUCGGGCUGAGGGAAAAGGAUUUAUUCGCUUCAGGAUGGACUCGCGUCCAAUUAGCUAGUUGGUGAGGUAACGGCCCACCAAGGCGACGAUUGGUAGCCGGACUGAGAGGUUGAACGGCCACAUUGGGACUGAGACACGGCCCAGACUCCUACGGGAGGCAGCAGUGGGGGAUAUUGCACAAUGGGGGAAACCCUGAUGCAGCGACGCCGCGUGGAGGAAGAAGGUUUUCGGAUUGUAAACUCCUGUCGUUAGGGACGAUAAUGACGGUACCUAACAAGAAAGCACCGGCUAACUACGUG